rnacentral:tmRNA from 1 species
GGGGCUGACCGGUAUUGACGGGGUGAUUAAUUGGCAUGUAAGCAUGUAGUGCAUUGGACAGUUGGCACUAUAAUCUCAAUUUCCAAAACCAUAGUUGGCGAAACUCAAUUCGCAAUGGCUGCCUAAUCAGGACGAUUACGCAUAUGCCUUCGGUUCGGGUGUGUUUGUCUUGUUGCGCAUCCACUAGAACCGUCAUCAAACAGGGACUUUUUGCAGUGUGGUUACUGGCUGUAAAGAGUAUUUAGUAAAUAUAGUUUAGGUUGGUAAGCGAAACAACCCGCCUAAGCCGAAUUUAAUGUUGCGCUACACAUGUAGAAAGCGUGACCAUUGCACUUCCGGACCAGAGUUCGAAUCUCUGCAGCUCCACCU